UGCCUUGCCUGUGCCCCGGUCAACGACUCAGCCUUCUGUCCCCGACCACGAGUUUAGCCUCUGCUUCCUCUGGUUUCCGUCUGCCUGAUCCCCUGCCUGUUUCCCAAUGAAUGGAUUCCAAGGUCCGACCAGAAAGACGUAUUGUUGAUUAGACAUGUGGAGGAAGAGGACGACGAUGAUGAUGAGCAGCAUCUUCCUGUUCCUGUCCCUACACUUCCUGAUCUCAUCCACCUUACUGCUGAUCAGCAAACCCAGAUAUGACCCGGCGUAUGAACCCUACUCAGCCGGAGUGGAGUGAGGAGGCAGCGUGUGCUUUCAUGGACCUCAAGGAUGCACUGAAUGCCUCAGAGCGAGGUUUGGGAGCUGUGCUUUUGCAGGGAGAGCACAACGAUCGUCACCCAGUGGCUUACAUCAGCCGGAAGUUGUUCCCAAUGGAGACUCGUUAUUCCACAGUGGAGAAAGGAUGUGUGGCAGUAAAAUGGGCCCUGGACUCCCUAAAUUAUUACCUUUUUAGGAAGAGAGUUCAUCUUGGAAACUGACCAUAAAGCCCUGAAGUGGAUAGAAGGAUGCUAACAGCUGCAUUACC